rnacentral:rRNA from 1 species
UACGGGAGGGUGCAAGCGUUGUUCGGAAUCACUGGGCGUAAAGGGCGUGUAGGCGGUCCGCUAAGUCUGAUGUGAAAGCCCGAGGCUUACCCUCGGAAGUGCAUUGGAGACUGGCGGACUGGAGUCCCGGAGAGGAGGGUGGAAUUCCUGGUGUAGCGGUGAAAUGCGCAGAUAUCAGGAGGAACAUCAGUGGCGAAGGCGGUGGUCUGGGCCGGAACUGACGCUGUAGAGCGAAAGCGUGGGGAGCGAACAGG